rnacentral:tRNA from 1 species
CAGUAGCUCAGUGGUAGAGCUCCAGAUUCAUAUGCGGGAAGACCUGGGUUCGAUUCCCGGCUG